rnacentral:piRNA from 1 species
GGAUUUCACAGUGAGACUCAGAGGGU